GACGAACGCUGGCGGCGUGCUUAACACAUGCAAGUCGAACGGUGAAGGGGCCUGCUUUUGUGGGUCCUGGAUGAGUGGCGAACGGGUGAGUAACACGUGAGUAACCUGCCCCCUUCUUCUGGAUAACCGCAUGAAAGUGUGGCUAAUACGGGAUAUUCUGGGUCUGUCGCAUGGUGGGCCUGGGAAAGAUUGCGCCUUUUUUGGUGUUUUUGGUGGGGGAUGGGCUCGCGGCCUAUCAGCUUGUUGGUGGGGUGAUGGCCUACCAAGGCGGUGACGGGUAGCCGGCCUGAGAGGGUGGACGGUCACACUGGGACUGAGACACGGCCCAGACUCCUACGGGAGGCAGCAGUGGGGAAUAUUGCACAAUGGGCGCAAGCCUGAUGCAGCGACGCCGCGUGAGGGAUGGAGGCCUUCGGGUUGUGAACCUCUUUCGCCAGUGAAGCAGGCCUGCCUCGUUUG
rnacentral:rRNA from 1 species